rnacentral:rRNA from 1 species
CGUGUAGGCGGACCAAGUAGUCGGGUGUGAAAGCCCUGGGCUCAACCCAGGAAGUGCGCCCGAAACCAUUGGUCUAGAGAUUCGGAGGGGAGCGGGGAAUUCCCAGUGUAGAGGUGAAAUUCGUAGAUAUUGGGAGGAACACCGGUGCCGAAGGGGCCGCUCUGGACGAAUACUGACGCUGAGACGCGAAAGCGUGGGUAGCAAACAGGAUUAGAUACCCUGGUAGUCC